GCGAAAGCGAGUUUUAACUGAGCGUUCAGUUACUUGACGUAGACCCGAAACCGGGCGACCUACCCAUGAGCAGGAUGAAGCGAAAGUAAAAUUUCGUGGAGGUCCGAACCCACGAGCGUUGAAAAGCUCGGGGAUGACUUGUGGGUAGCGGUGAAAUUCCAAUCGAGCCCGGAGAUAGCUGGUUCUCCCCGAAAUAGCUUUAGUGCUAGCCUCAAGGUGAGAGAUACGGAGGUAGAGCACUGAAUGUCCUAGGGGGUAUUGCACCUACCGAAGACUAUCAAACUCCGAAUGCCGUCAUCUUAUACUUGGGAGUCAGACUGUGGGUGAUAAGAUGCAUAGUCGAAAGGGCAA
rnacentral:rRNA from 1 species